GAGCGCUGCUCGAGCACCCCAUGGCGCGGCUGGGACCAGCUCCGCGCUCAACGGCGCACAGGUUCCAGAGGGCGCCAGGCACCCAGGGACAAAAAAAAUCUGGUUCGUGCUGGUUGGUCCAUCUUGUACAGUACUGCUGUUUUCAUGGUCCCUUUUUCAAAAACUGAAUCCAGUGUUAUCAAGAUCAACGGCCUACUCCACAAUCAAAAUGAAGAAUGGACGUUUACAAGGGCGAAGGCUGGCAUAUCAGAAUAUCUUAAAAGUGUUUCCCACCAAAAUUUUUGCCACCUGGCAAGGAGGUCUAUGAAAGAGUGGCAGUCCCCAGGGAGGCCUCAGAGCACUAGCCGUUUUACCUCCUUUCUUGCCGUUCUGCCGCUACCAGCAGCCUGCAUUGCAUCUGCGUGCCUUGGAUAUUUUUAGCACCUGGUCUGGAGACCUCUGCAAGGAUGGAUGGAUGUUUGGCUCAGUCCUAGAACAUGUGGUGGGACAGUCCCUGCUCUGGGUUAGAUGUCACCAAGGCCUCUGCCUCCAGAAAAUAAGGGACUGGAUGUGGAAGAAUAAAUUGAAACUCAGUGCAGAUAAGACAAGUUGUUACUGAUUGCAAGGGUUGGACUUCAGUAUUCAAGAUAAAUGCCUGUCCUGGAUGGGAUGCAUUCUUCCUUAAAGAUCAGAUUUGCAGUUGGUGGGUGAUUUUGGAUCUGUCUUUCUUUUGCCAAAGGCAAUGGUUUUUUUUUAUAGUUAUAAAGAUUCAGAACCAAUGAAGACACAAGUGGAGAGAAGUUAAAUGAUCUUUAUUAAUAUGCGGGCAUUAAUACAUUACCAAGCAAGCAGCUUCCUUCAAUCUGUUGUCGGGAGCCCCAGUAACGACAACGAAGAGACCCCAAUAUAGCCAGCAUGCAGCACCUUCCUGAAUUAGGUCUGCAUCGAAGCCCACAAGAUCAGGACUCCGAGGCUUUUUAUCCUUAACUUAGAGGAUCACUACGGGCAGCUAAGGAUGGCAUGAUAAUUAAUUACACCUGUUGUUUGCAUGUCUUAUGAUAUUUUAUAUUCCUCCAAAAGAUAAGCUAAAACCUAAAGCGGGUGGACAGCACUUUAUCGUUCCUGGUAUACUCCCCAAAUUCCAAGGUUGUACCUUCCUUAGCUAGUAACCAUUCGUGCAAAACAUCAUUCAGCUAAAUAAAUUUAACUCUUUAUAAACCUUUAUAGCUACUAUGGCUCAGGAGACCCCAAGAGCAGAAGAGACAAUUGUGGCACACCAGUCCUGUCUCCUCGAUGUACAAAAGUCUUCUGAUAGUUUUCCUCUACAGUCUUGAUGCUGGACAGCCUCAUAAUAUCAGUGGCAAGGAGGAUAAUUUAUCAGCUUCAGCUAUUAAACUAACUACAAUCUAAACUAACUGCAAUCCAGUCUGGAGGAGAAAAACCUGGCUUCAGUGGCUUAUGCAAUGAUAACUUUAACACUGGAUUAUUAUACAGUAGUGUGCUCCUUGUGGGACAUCAACAGUCCUUGAAGACUGUUCAGAAAUUGCAUCUGGCCCAGAAUGAGACAGCAUGGGUGGUGAGUGGUGUAACAUUCACGCAGUUACAGUGGGCCCCUCACGAGUGAGGGGAAAGAAGACACCAAACUGAUUCUCCUUUGAGG